rnacentral:rRNA from 1 species
GUGGGGAAUAUUGCACAAUGGGCGCAAGCCUGAUGCAGCAACGCCGCGUGAGCGAAGAAGGUCUUCGGAUCGUAAAGCUCUGUCCUCAGGAACGAAGAAGUGACGGUACCUGAGGAGGAAGCCCCGGCUAACUACGUGCCAGCAGCCGCGGUAAUACGUAGGGGGCGAGCGUUAUCCGGAAUUAUUGGGCGUAAAGAGUACGUAGGCGGUUCUGUAAGCGUGAGGUGAAAGCCCGGGGCUUAACUCCGGUAAGCCUUUCGAACUGCAGGACUUGAGUGCUGGAGGGGAAAGUGGAAUUCCUAGUGUAGCGGUGAAAUGCGUAGAUAUUAGGAGGAACACCAGUGGCGAAGGCGACUUUCUGGACAGUAACUGACGCUGAGGUACGAAAGCGUGGGGAGCAAACAGGAUUAGAAACCCUAGUAGUCC